rnacentral:rRNA from 1 species
UACGUAGGGUGCGAGCGUUGCCCGGAAUUAUUGGGCGUAAAGAGCUCGUAGGCGGUUUGUCGCGUCGGGUGUGAAAGCUCAGGGCUCAACCCUGAGUCUGCAUCCGAUACGGGCAGACUAGAGGCAGGUAGGGGAGAACGGAAUUCCUGGUGUAGCGGUGAAAUGCGCAGAUAUCAGGAGGAACACCGGUGGCGAAGGCGGUUCUCUGGGCCUGUACUGACGCUGAGGAGCGAAAGCGUGGGGAGCGAACAGG